UAUCAUCUUGGCCUGGAUACUUUCUUUUAAUGUCAGCAAAAUGAGUUCCAUUUUCCUGUAGUGCAGUUUACUUGUUAGAUCUUUAAAAAGGCUUUUCCCGUUACAAGGGGGCGUCCUAGGAGGCAUGGAAUUUAAAAUUUAGGCAAUAAAAUAAAUCCGUUUUUCUCUAGAGGCAGUUCUGUACCACAUGUUCUUUCAGUGUUGAAAUUUAAUUGCCUGUAACUGCUGACUUCCGGUAACUAUCGGCUGGCUGUUUCCAGGUUUGGUUCCAGGCCUAGUAGUGACCCCCAAGCUUCCUGAAUGUGCCUGCGUGUAUCACAAAAUACUCCGUGGAAAGAGGGAAGCUUCGCUGCUGAGAUGCUCCGUUUCAAAUAAGGAUGCUAUGAACAUUGAACACUUUGCUUUGCUGCCUCCUCCAAAACAACAAUAGAUAUACAGUUCAGAUAGCUGUGUCUCAUCCUGGCCUGUUUCCUGCUCUUGUAAAGUAGGGAAAAUAAUUGUACUUAUUUCACAAGACUACUGUGAGGGCUGCCUGGGAUAAUGCAUAAUAAAGUGCUUACUAAGUUCCUGGCUUAAUAUUGUUUAAAAAAAAAUUUUUUUUAAUGUUUAUUUUCUGAGAGAGAGAGAGACAGAG